GACGAACGCUGGCGGCGUGCUUAACACAUGCAAGUCGAACGGAAAGGCCCUGCUUGCUGGGUACUCGAGUGGCGAACGGGUGAGUAACACGUGGGUGCUCUGCCCUCCACUUCGGGAUAAGCCUGGGAAACUGGGUCUAAUACCUGAUAGGAGCCAUUUUUAGUGUGAUGGUUGGAAAGUUUUUUUCGGUGUAGGAUGAGCUCGCGGCCUAUCAGCUUGUUGGUGGGGUAAUGGCCUACCAAGGCGGCGACGGGUAGCCGGACUGAGAGGGUGGACGGCCACAUUGGGACUGAGAGACGGCACAGACGCCGACGGGAGGCAGAAGGGGGGAAGACUGCACAAGGGGCGCAAGCCGGAUGCAGAGACGCCGCGGGUGGGAUGACGGCCUUCGGGUUGUAAAAACCUUUCGCUAGGGACGAAGCUUUUUGUGACGGUACCUAGAGAAGAAGCACCGGCUAACUACGUG
rnacentral:rRNA from 1 species